rnacentral:antisense_RNA from 1 species
CGUGGACAGCUUGUGCAGGAAGUCGCGGCGCAUAUCCGCGAUUCUGGCGUGGGUGCGCGCCACCUUGAGGGCGGCUUUCCGAUGGUUGCUGCUGCCUUUGGUCUUGCGGCUCAACGCCCGCUGCUCGCGUUCGAGCUUUUCGGCGAGACGCCGGUAGUGGCGUGGGUUGCCGAUGGUCUCGCCGUCGCUGGUGACGGCGAAGUCCUUCACCCCCAGGUCGAUGCCGACCGCGCGCGUGUUCUUGGGGAGCGUGUCGAUGCGCUCCUCCACGAGGAUGCUGACAUGCCAGCGUCCCGCCGCGUCAAGGCUGACCGUGACCGUGGACGGGACGGCCUUCCUCGGGAGGGUGCGAGACCAUCGGAUAGGCAGCGGGUCAUGCAUCUUGGCGAGCGUGAGUUCACGACGUUCCGCAUCCCAUCUGAACGCGCUGCGCGUGAACUCGGCGCUCCCGCCGUGCGAUUUCCUUUUGAACGUCGGAUAGUCGCCGGUCUGCCUGAAGAAGUGCGAGAACGCCGCUUGCAGGUGGCGCAGCGUCUGCUGCAACGGCACGCAGGACACCUCGUUCAGGUACGAGUAUUCGCC